CAGACGAUGCGUCAUGCAUAUCAAUAAGCGGAGGAAAAGAAACUAACAAGGAUUCCCUUAGUAACGGCGAGUGAAGCGGGAAGAGCUCAAAUUUGAAAUCUUCAAGGUUUUACCUUGACGAAUUGUAGUUUAAAGAAGUGUUUUCUGCUGAAGUUUUGGUAAAAGUUCUUUGGAAUAGGACAUCAUAGAGGGUGAGAAUCCCGUAUUUGACCAUUAUUUUCAGCUUUGUGAUACACUUUCAAAGAGUCGGAUUGUUUGGGAAUGCAGUCCAAAAUGGGUGGUAAAUUUCAUCUAAAGCUAAAUAUUGGCGAGAGACCGAUAGCGAACAAGUACCGUGAGGGAAAGAUGAAAAGAACUUUGAAAAGAGAGUUAAACAGUACGUGAAAUUGUCAAAAGGGAAGCGUUUGACACCAGUGUUGUUUUCUCGAAAAUCAAUUAAAAAUGGCUCGAUUUUGUAUUGCUGAGACCUUAAAAGUUCACUGUACAUUUUUCGUGUCUUUUUUAAUGCACUUUUCGUUUAACAAGUCAACAUCAGUUUCUUUUGUUGUAAAAGGGUCAUUGGAAGGUGGCUUUCUUUUCGGAGAAAGUGUUUAUAGCCUUUGGCCUCUGCAAUCGGAGAGACUGAGGUCUGCAGCGUAGACUCUUCGGGGUUAGAUACAUUUGUGCUAAGUUAUAGCUUUUUAUAGACAACUUAUUGACUAUAAUUAGUCUUGUAGCUUACUCGCUUAUGCUAUUUUACCUACGCUUAGGAUGUUGACGAUCAGCUGAGCGCG
rnacentral:rRNA from 1 species